GCUGAGGUAGCUCAGUUGGCAGAGCAGCUGAUUCGUAAUCAGCAGGUCGAGGGUUCAAGUCCCUUCCUCAGCUCCA
rnacentral:tRNA from 1 species